ACCCCACCCACCUGAGAACAUAGCAGAUGCUUUCCUCUCCAGGCUUGUUUUCUAUUUCUAAGAUUCUUUCUUUAAUACUCAUCUUAGGUUGUUUUCAUAAUUCAAGGAGUCUUGAGGAAAACACAUGGCCUAAACUUGAUUAGCAUUAAUGCACCAACAAAUUUGACCUACACAACGGAAAGAAAAUUAUGACAUUUAAGUACAAAAAGACACAAUUGUGCAUUUAAAAACAAGAGGAAUUCUAUGAGCAAGGGGCAUCAAGAUCAUGAUGGGAAACCUACAGAGACAACCAAACCAAACUAGUGGGAACUCAUGAACCGUGGACCAACAGCUGUGGAGCCACCAUGGGACUGAACUAGGCCCUCUGCAUAGGUCUGAAUAGGAAUGGAGACACAGAAAGCUAGACAAUAUAUCAUAUCAGCCUUACAAAAUGGAAGUAGUUCAUGGUACAGAUGAAGCUUGGAGAAUGUGUGCAUACUUGCCUGUGGAUGCUGAGGGUAGAAAGCUGAAGCUGUCUUCCUGUACCCUUCUCUGCUUUUUGAAGUUGGGUUUCUCAAUGAACCUGGACAUUAUGUUUUUGAAAUAUGCAGCCCUCAACCCUCAUCAAGAUAACUUCUCUUUGCAGCUGAGGAGGACCAUUACAAAAAGAGCAUGCACUCAAAAUGCAAAGAUGUGGAGCCCCUUCCAAACACCCCCUCACCUAAAGCUUAGGGAAUAUUUUAGGGAUAGAGUCGAGUGGGGGUGGGAUGGCAGUAAAAUCAGAGGAUCAAAGACA